ACAUUUGCCUGCUUUGACCACAAAACUGAGGACAGUUUUGCUGCACCCGCUCCAUCCUUAGGGGUGAUCAGGAUUUCUGAGGAUGCCAUUCAAUUUGCUGGAGUCAAGGCAUAAAAGGUAAAAGGGGUCUCAGACUGAGAAGAUGAAGAUGCUGAGCUGGCUCCAUCCUCGGCUGUUCCCUGCGAGAGAAGGCCUCGUCCUGGGGGAAGUUUCAUGCCCAGCUGCUCAGCCAUCUCCACGUGGUCACCAGGAUGGACAUAGUCAAACACACUGCUGCCUGUCAGUUCCACCUAUGGGGUAAAAGCAGGGGACACGAGAACAGAAGACAUUAAUAAUGGUGAUUUGAAAAACAAAAUAUCUGUUAUCUCACACUGCAACUUGUACAUGAUCUUCUGAGGAAAGACAGCAAAUAAAUUCAUAAACAUCAUCAGGUGUCCUCAAUUGCAACAGCUGAAACUGAUUUUAUAAAAAAGUUGAAUCCUCCAUUUUAGUUUUACUCAAAUCUGGCAUCCAAAUCAAUGGGGAGAUACUAUGAUGCAAAAGAAAAAAGCCUACCUCAAAUUUCUAUGGCUUCAUGAGCCAACAGAUAAGCAAAACCACUAUGAAAAGGUGAAAUGUAUUAUACCUAAAAUUGGAUUAAAAGCAAAUCAAAAUCUAA